GACGGAGGAUGCAAGUGUUAUCCGGAAUCACUGGGCGUAAAGCGUCUGUAGGUGGUUCGAAAAGUCCACUGUUAAAAAUUGAGGCUUAACUUCAAAGAUGCCGUGGAAACUUUCAAACUAGAGUAUGGUAGGGGGAGAGGGAAUUUCCAGUGGAGCGGUGAAAUGCGUAGAUAUUGGAAAGACCACCGAUGGCGAAGGCACUCUACUGGGCCACGACUGACACUGAGAGACGAAAGCUAGGGGAGCAAAUGGG
rnacentral:rRNA from 1 species